GACGUAGGUGGCGAACGUUAUCCGGAAUUAUUGGGCGUAAAGGGUGCGUAGGCGGCAUAAUAAGUUAUUGGCGGGAAAUCGAGGCUCAACCUCGUGGAAACUGAUAAUACUGUUUUGCUUGAGUACAGGAGAGGUUAACGGAACUCCAUGUGGAGCGGUAAAAUGUGUAGAUAUAUGGAAGAACAUCAAUAACGGCGAAGGCAGUUAACUAUUCUGCUACUGACGUUGAGGCACGAAAGCGUGGGGAGCAAAAAGG
rnacentral:rRNA from 1 species